rnacentral:rRNA from 1 species
GACGAACGCUGGCGGCGUGCUUAACACAUGCAAGUCGAACGGAAAGGCCCUGCUCUUGUUGGUUGCUCGUGUGGCGAACGGGUGAGUAACACGUGUGUAUCCUCCCCUUGACUUUGGGAUAACUUCAGGAAACUGGGGCUCAUACCCGAUAUGAGCUCUUGCUGCAUGUUGGGGGUUGGUAAGUUUCGGCUGUUGGGGAUGGACUCGCGGCUUAUCAGCUUGUUUGUGGGGUAGUUGCUUACCAAGGCUUUGACGGGUAGCCGGCCUGAGAGGGGUACCGGCCACAAUGGGACUGAGAUACGGCCCAGAAUCCUACGGGAGGCAGCAGUGGGGAAUAUUGCACAAUGGGCGGAAGCCUGAUACAGCAACGCCGCGUGCGGGAUGACGGCUUUCGAGUUGUAAACAGAUUUCGCAGGUGACGAAGCGUGAGUGACGGUAAUGGGUAAAGAAGCACCGGCUAACUACGUG